AUUGAACGCUGGCGGCAGGCCUAACACAUGCAAGUCGAGCGAGAGGCGGACGGGUGAGUAAUGUAUGGGAAUCUGCCCGAUAGAGGGGGAUAACUACUGGCAACGGUGGCUACUACCGCAUACUAUCGGAUGUACCCAUAUGGGAUUAGCUUGUGUGUGGGGUAACGGCUCACCAAGGCGACGCUCUCUAGCUGGUCUGUGAGGAUGAUCAGCCACACUGGAAAUGAGACACGGGCCAGACUCCUCCGAGAGGCAGCAGUGGGGAAUAUUGCACAAUGGGCGGAAGCCUGAUGCAGCCAUGCCGCGUGUAUGAAGAAGGCCUUAGGGUUGUAAAGUACUUUCAGCGGGGAGGCGUUACCCGCAGAAGAAGCACCGGCUAACUCCGUGCCAGCAGCCGCGGUAAUAC
rnacentral:rRNA from 1 species